GCGAGGUGACGAUAGAAAUUCAUUGGUCUGUCAAUCCACUGAAUUUUGUGAUGUUAACAUGAAUCCCGACAGGUUCUGAUCGC